rnacentral:rRNA from 1 species
GACGAACGCUGACGGCGUGCUUAACACAUGCAAGUCGAAGGGAGUGGCGAACGGGUGAGUAACACGUGUGUAACCUGCCCCUUUCUGUGGUAUAAGCCUGGGAAACUGUGUCUAAUACUAGAUUGGUUGGGAUGGUCUCGCGGCUUCUCCGUUUGUUGGUGGGGUGAUGGCUUCCCAAGGCGUUGACGGGGAGCCGGCCUGAGAGGGUGGACGGUCACAGUGGGACUGAGAUACGGCCCAGACUCCUACGGGAGGCAGCAGUGGGGGAUAUUGCACAAUGGACGAAAGUCUGAUGCAGCGACGUCGUGUGGGGGAUGAAGGCCUUCGGGUUGUAAACUCCUUUCGCCAGCGGAAUGGUAGGGGGAGAAGAAGCGCCGGCUAACUACGUGCCAGCAGCCGCGGUAAUUC